rnacentral:rRNA from 1 species
CGGGGAGGUAGUGACGAAAAAUAACGAUACGGGACUCAUCCGAGGCCCCGUAAUCGGAAUGAGUACACUUUAAAUCCUUUAACAAGGAUCCAUUGGAGGGCAAGUCUGGUGCCAGCAGCCGCGGUAACUCCAGCUCCAAUAGCGUAUAUUAAAGUUGUUGCGGUUAAAAAGCUCGUAGUUGAAUUUGUGUACCACAGUGUCGGUUCACCGCUCGCGGUGUUUAACUGGCAUUAUGUGGUACGUCCUACCGGUGGGCUUAGCUCUUCGCGGGGCGGUCCAACUAAUCUCCCAUCGCGGUGCUCUUCACUGAGUGUCGAGGUGGGCCGGUACGUUUACUUUGAACAAAUUAGAGUGCUCAAAGCAGGCUAACUUCGCCUGAAUAUUCUGUGCAUGGAAUAAUGGAAUAGGACCUCGGUUCUAUUUUGUUGGUUUUCGGAGCCCCGAGGUAAUGAUUAAUAGGGACAGAUGGGGGCAUUCGUAUUGCGACGUUAGAGGUGAAAUUCUUGGAUCGUCGCAAGACGGACAGAAGCGAAAGCAUUUGCCAAAAAUGUUUUCAUUAAUCAAGAACGAAAGUUAGAGGUUCGAAGGCGAUCAGAUACCGCCCUAGUUCUAACCAUAAACGAUGCCAGCUAGCGAUCCGCCGAAGUUCCUCCGAUGACUCGGCGGGCAGCUUCCGGGAAACCAAAGCUUUUGGGUUCCGGGGGAAGUAUGGUUGCAAAGCUGAAACUUAAAGGAAUUGACGGAAGGGCACCACCAGGAGUGGAGCCUGCGGCUUAAUUUGACUC